AUUGAACGCUGGCGGCAUGCCUUACACGUGCAAGUCGAACGGUAACAGGUUAAGCUGACGAGUGGCGAACGGGUGAGUAAUAUAUCGGAACGUGCCCAGUCGUGGGGGAUAACUGCUCGAAAGAGCAGCUAAUACCGCAUGCGACCUGAGGGUGAAAGCGGGGGAUCGCAAGACCUCGCGCGAUUGGAGCGGCCGAUAUCAGAUUAGGUAGUUGGUGGGGUAAAAGCCCACCAGGCCAACGAUCUGUAGCUGGUCUGAGAGGACGACCAGCCACACUGGGACUGAGACACGGCCCAGACUCCUACGGGAGGCAGCAGUGGGGAAUUUUGGACAAUGGACGCAAGUCUGAUCCAGCCAUGCAGCGUGCGGGAAGAAGGCCUUCGGGUUGUAAACCGCUUUUGUCAGGGAAGAAAAGGUUCUGGCUAAUACCUGGGACUCAUGACGGUACCUGAAGAAUAAGCACCGGCUAACUACGUGCCAGCAGCCGCCGUAAAAC
rnacentral:rRNA from 1 species